rnacentral:rRNA from 1 species
CGGGACGGGUGAGUAAUGUCUGGGAAACUGCCUGAUGGGGGGGGAUAACUGCUGGAAACGGUAGCUAAUACCGCAUAACGUCGCAAGACCAAAGAGGGGGACCUUCGGGCCUCUUGCCAUCGGAUGUGCCCAGAUGGGAUUAGCUAGUAGGUGGGGUAACGGCUCACCUAGGCGACGAUCCCUAGCUGGUCUGAGAGGAUGACCAGCCACACUGGAACUGAGACACGGUCCAG